UUACUAAUAGGUUAUAUAAACUAGUAGAUUGUGGUUCUAUUGAAUACUUGUAAUUUAUUUGUAUUAGUAAA
rnacentral:tRNA from 1 species